rnacentral:lncRNA from 1 species
CAAAGGCUCCUUUCCAUGUAGACCUGUGGGUGUCUGCCUGACCUGUAGUCUGAAGAUGCUCUUUCUGAAGUCUUAGGAGGGCCCCUCAGUGAGGAUGCCCGAAGCUGAAGGCUUUACUUCUGUUUCAAGGACUGGAUGUGUCAUCACUAUCACCAUCAUCAACACCACCACCACCACCAGCAGCAGCAGCAACAAAGAUAAACUCACUUGUUAGAGUGAAGACUAACAGGAUUACCAGAAGGAGCCACCUACUCAGUGCAGUGAACAAGACGUGUGGUCUGAAGAUACACAACACCGAGACAGGACUGUGUGGUGCUCACAUGCCACGAGCAGAGUUCAAACAGCAUCCAAGCCCUAAAGACCAGAGCCAUGGACCAAUAUGGUGGAUGGCAUGUGUGCGCUUGUUCCAGAAGUGCUACUCAUCAUGGAGGCAAAUCCUGUGAGGACGUGGAAGACUUCACCUGGUUUCUCCGCUUUCCUCCCGGUGACACGGGGGAUACUUCGGGCAGAUACUGAACUGUCUGCUGCCAUUUACAGCCACAGUUACAUGGGAUUGUUUGUUCCUUCCCUGGGCUUCUACCUCUUCCUUGACUGGAACAGAAGCUAGGUGCUUAGAUAAACCUGGUCAAAUAUUUUAAAUCAG